rnacentral:rRNA from 1 species
CCUACGGGUGGCAGCAGUGGGGGAUAUUGCACAAUGGGGGAAACCCUGAUGCAGCGACGCCGCGUGGGUGAAGAAGCGCCUCGGCGCGUACAGCCCUGUCAGCAGGGAAGAAAAUGACGGUACCUGAAGAAGAAGCCCCGGCUAACUACGUGCCAGCAGCCACGGUAAUACGUAGGGGGCAAGCGUUAUCCGGAUUUACUGGGUGGAAAGGGGGCGCAGACGGCGAUGCAAGACAGGAGUGAAAGCCCGGGGCCCAACCCCGGGACUGCUCUUGGAACUGCGUGGCUAGAGGGCAGGAGGGGCAGGCGGAAGUCCUGGUGUAGCGGUGAAAUGCGUAGAUAUCAGGAGGAACACCGGUGGCGAAGGCGGCCUGCUGGACUGCAACUGACGUUGAGGCCCGAAAGCGUGGGGAGCAAACAGGAUUAGAUACCCUUGUAGUC